rnacentral:lncRNA from 1 species
UAUAUUCAUGGGAUGAUAAUUGAUGUUUCUCAAAAUAAGAAAAUAUUAAAGAUAUAAAUAAACUAGAUUCUAUGUUCAACAAUAUUCGGAAAACUGACCAAAGUUAAAGAGUUUUCUUUAUUGUUGGAUGUCUUGCAGAUGUUACUGGAUCAACACUCAUUGUGAAACUCCAUGAAGGAAACAGUUUUCCAAACUCAUUUGGCCAGUAAAUCCUUUCACCAGAAGUUCCACAAGAGACUACUCUUCUGCAACAUUUCCCUAAUAGAAGCCAUAUCAAAUAUCUGUGACCAAAUGAGUCAAGUCAACACAUGUCAGGGUGUGGGAACUGUCCUCCUCAACUAAUUAAUAUAAAGAAUUAAAUACUGACAUAACUGCACUCAAGCUUCAAAGAGAUUUCAGCAAUGGGAGCAAACUUGAAGAAAAUAUCCUCAAAACCUAAUAUUAACUACUUUCUCUCCCUCUUGGAAGACUUGAAUCCAAAAUGAGAUGCUUCCUGCCUGCUAAAGAGCAGUGGAAACAGAAAGGUAUUUGAAACCAUAAAUA